GUGUUCAACACGGAACUUCACAAUAUUUGCUGCAGCAACACCGGUGAGUGCGUGACCACGUCGGCGGCACAUCAAGGGCACUCGUGAGUUCGUUGACCACAUCGGUGUUUCAACGCGAAAGCACUCAGGUCACGCAGCGACCCCGGAGAGUGAAUCGACCACGGCAGUUGGUACAGCACGAAAGCACUCGUGGCUCGCUGCGUAACAGCUGCAGAGUGCUCUAAAUUUUAAUUGAUCUCGCUGAGGUAUUUUAAGUCGACUGCUUUUACGUGAUUCAUCGAUCUCGCUGACGGUUUUAAGCUUAUCGUUUUAUGGUAUUUUAAUCGACUGCUUUUACGUGAUUCAUCGAUCUCGCUGACGGUUUUAAGCUUAUCGUUUUAUGGUAUGUAUGAUUGACUCUUAAUAUGUCGUAUAUUGGGUAUGCCUUUUAUCUUCCAGAAGCAGUAUAGAUCCUUGUCCACUUCUUCUACGCGGGUAUGUAUGGUCUCAUUACCCCCUUUCGCUAUUCUAUUUUUUGGGGUCGGCUCCGCCCCUGCCAGUCCCGGCAGGACAUGCCGAGUUAUCUCCUACUUCUGGCGAAGGCCUACGUCCUCUCUUUUUUUUGGAAGGCUCCGCCCCUGCUAGUCCUGGCAGGAUACGCCGAGUCCGCACGUCACCCUGGAUCAGUGACGAGGCUCAUGCCAAAGAUUUACCAUGCAAAAUAUUCCCAUGUCGUUAUUUAAAUAAAUCCUGUUCAUACUUAUCGGUGAUCGAGUCUUUAUGGGAGAAAUGUUAAGCUUGCUGGUAGUUCUACCAGGAGGACUCAAAUCACGCGCGGCUGGCCACCAAUCACCUGCCUACACCUGCUCUAUAAAGAGUAGUCUAACAUAUGUCUUUGCUGCUCAGGUCUUCGUUCGACGCACCUCCAUCCACCCCACCACCACCAGGUCGGCCUCAGUCUACUUGUCCAGGGGAAGGCUCCGCCCCUGCUAGUCCUGGCAGGAUACGCCGAGUCCGCACGUCACCCUGGAUCAGUGACGAGGCUUAUGCCAAAGAUUUACCAUGCAAAAUAUUCCCAUGUCGUUAUUUAAAUAAAUCCUGUUC
ensembl:lncRNA